UUAUCUAAGAGUUUGAUCCUGGCUCAGGACGAACGCUGGCGGCACGCCUAACACAUGCAAGUCGAACGGAGUGAAGAUGCUCGCAUCUGAACUUAGUGGCGGACGGGUGAGUAACACGUGAGCAACCUGCCUUUCAGAGGGGGAUAACGUUUGGAAACGAACGCUAAUACCGCAUAAAAUAUCGGAGUCGCAUGGCACUGAUAUCAAAGGAGCAAUCCGCUGAAAGAUGGGCUCGCGUCCGAUUAGGCAGUUGGCGGGGUAACGGCCCACCAAACCGACAAUCGGUAGCCGGACUGAGAGGUUGAACGGCCACAUUGGGACUGAGACACGGCCCAGACUCCUACGGGAGGCAGCAGUGGGGGAUAUUGCACAAUGGGGG
rnacentral:rRNA from 1 species